rnacentral:tRNA from 1 species
UCCUUGGUGGCUCAGUGGUAAAGAAUCUGCCUUCAAGGCAGGAGAUCCAUGUUCAAUCCCUGGGCUGGGAA